GAGGGUAUAGGUGAAUGGUAGAGUGCAUGCUUAGCGUGCAUGAGAUCUUGGGUCCAAUCCCCAGUGCCUCCA
rnacentral:tRNA from 1 species